UACGGAGGGUGCGAGCGUUGUCCGGAAUCAUUGGGCGUAAAGGGCGCGUAGGUGGCGGGACAAGCGUGCGGUGAAAGCCUGGGGCUCAACCCCGGGUCGGCCGUGCGAACUGUUUUGCUUGAGCACUGUAGAGGCAGGCGGAAUUCCGGGUGUAGCGGUGGAAUGCGUAGAGAUCCGGAAGAACACCGGUGGCGAAGGCGGCCUGCUGGGCAGUAGCUGACACUGAGGCGUGACAGCGUGGGGAGCAAACAGG
rnacentral:rRNA from 1 species